rnacentral:lncRNA from 1 species
UUUCACCUCUAUUUAAUUAAUCAAUUUCUCAUUACGGUGAAAAAAAUGGUACUGGAGUUGUUUACAUGAGAUGAAGAAAUAUGAAAACUAAAACAUUUGAGGUUUAUAUAACAUACUAGUAUUUUCACACGUACAUGCGAGAAACCUAUUUUUAGUAAAUAAUUCCCAAGAAAUUCUUUUUCUUUUUGAUCCCAAGGAAUCCUAUUUAGAAAUAUAACUUCAUUAAGAAAAAAUAAGUCAAUAAAUUAUAUUCUUUUAGCUACACCUCAAUUAAGUAAUAACCUUCUUAAAGAUAGAAAAUUUGUAACGCCCCGGUCCCGAAAUAUUUACUUUAUUUCGAGAAAUAAUAAAUUUAGUGAUAGGCCCAAACUAAACUCUCGUUUCAUUUGCUACUAUUUCUAUUAUCUUACUUCUAAAUCUCCAACAAUUUAAUUCUUAUAAAAUUAACCAUGUUUUUAAUUGCCAUAACAAUCAAUUAAGAUAACAACUUUGUUAAUGCACAAAACUGGAGGGGUCUUGGAACAACGUAAAUCCGACCGCGAAUCUGCAAGAAAGUAAAGAACGCAAGAUGUAUCGUGGUUCACCCCAAUGUUUGGGCUAAGUCCACACUGAUGUUGAUUGUAUUUCUCUCUAACUGUAUGUAUGGAUUACAAGGGUGAAGGGGAGUCCCUUAGAGAAAGAGAGGGUUUGAGAGAGCUUCUCUGUGAGGAUGAGAGCUCUGUUUAGGGGAUGUGAGGCUUGAGGUUUGUGAAGGUGAGGAGGCCAUUUUAUAGAAUAAGGGCUCCUCACUUAUUACAUAUUUGCCCCUCCAUUUAUUACAUAAUUACAUUUGAGUCUCCCGAGUAUUUAUACGAGAUCUAAAUACGGAGGCCCAAAGUAUGGUAUAAACAGUAGUUCGCCAAGUCUUCAGUCAAGAGAGUGUUUUGGCUGGAGACUUGAAAUUUAGUCCAUAUGUUGGCCAAAGUAAGUAAAUGUCGUCUAGAACUGAUACUCGAUAUAAGGCGGUGCUCAAAUGUGAAAUGAUGCUCAACUAAAAGUAGCACAUGUUGCGAGGCUGCUCGGAUUGUGGCUUAUGUUGCCUUGGUUGGCUCGGCUUGUGGUAUUGAAGGUGAAUGAGUCCCUUUUAUAGAAUAAGGGCUCGCUCCUCAAUACAGAAGUGAUGGGUUAGGAGUGAUGCUCGCGGCAAGGCGGUUGCUCAGCUGGCGACGAUGCUCUCUAAUGAUGGUGAAGGAGUCCCUUUUAUAGAAUAAGGGCUCGCUCCUCAAUACAUAAGUGAUGGGUUAGAGUUGAUGCUCGCGGCGAGACGGUUGCUCAAUAGGCGGCGAUGCUCUCUAAUGAUGGUAAGGGAGUCCCUUUUAUAAAAUAAGGGUUCGCUCCUCAAUACAUAAAUGAUGGGUUAGAAUUGAUGCUCGGGCGAGGCAGUUGCUCAGUAGGCGGCGAUACUCUCUAAUGAUGGUGAGGGAGUCCCUUUUAUAAAAUAAGGGCCCGCUCCUCAAUACAUAAAUGAUGGGCUAAGAGUGAUGCUCGCGGCGAGGCGGUUGCUCAAUAGGCGACGAUGCUCUCUAAUGAUGGUGAGGGAGUCCCUUUUAUAGAAUAAGGGCUCACUCCUCAAUACAUGAAUAAUGGGUGCUCUCUAAUGAAAGUGAGGGAGUCUAUUUUAUAGAAUAAGGGUUCACUCCUCAAAACAUAAAUAAUGGGCUAAGUCCCCCAAGUAUUUUUCAUGAGGCCCAGUUGCGGAAGCCCAAUAUAUGAUACAUAGUGUAGUCCCCCAAGUCUUUAGUCAAUAAAGGCUGUUGGCUGGAGACUUCAAAUUCAAUCCAUGUAUGGGCUAAAGUGGGGGUUGUUCGGAGACGGUCUUUGUAUACCAUGCACUGAAGUUUUGUAGGUGAAGCUUUGAAAGUGAAGUUUUGAAGCUGGAGCUUUUGUAAAUGAAGCUUUGAAAUCGGAGCUUUCGUAAAUGAAGCUUUUGAAGCUGGAGCUCUUGUUAAUGAAGCUUUUGAAGUUGGAGCUCUAUAAAUGAAGCUUUCAAAGCUGAUUGACAUGAGUAAUGCUCAUGAAUGUUUAUGUUGAUGGACAUGAGUGAUGCUCAUGGAUGUUGACAUAAGUGAUGCUCAUGCAUGUUGACAUGAAUGAUGGUAAUGAAUUUUAUGUAUGAUUGACAUGAGUGAUGCUCAUGAAUGUUUAUGUAUGAUUGACAUGAGUGAUGCUCAUGUAUAAUUUUGGAGUACUGGACGUACUUUUGAUUACCUAGUGGGUGAUAAUAGCGACAGGCUGUCGAAUAAUUUUAGAGUAAUGGGCGUACUUUUGAUCACCUGAUUGGUGAUAAUAGCGGCAUGCUGCUGAAUAAUUUUGGAGUACUGGACGUACUUUUGAUCACCUGGUUAGUGAUAAUAGCGGCAGGGUGCCGAAUAAUUUUGGAGUACUGGACAUAAUUUUGAUCACCUGGUUGGUGAUAAUAGCGGCAAGCUGCCAAAUAAUUUUAAAGCCAUAGGGUCUAGCUCUUUUGGGCAUAUGGGCCUUCGCCCUCCACAUAACACUCCAGCCCAUUAUUUUGGGUUUGUCGUUUUUUUUUUUGGGCAUGCUGCCUUCUUUCUUUAUUUAUGAUUACCCUCUGUUGGGGUUAUACAUAUGUCUCCAAAAGAUAAGCAAAGUAAAUGACAUCAUUCAAAAAAAGGUUUCGAAAGUUGCAGAUCGUUGGUGCGUACUGGGUUGUUGCAAAUCUUUUUCCAUGUGCGUAUUCCAGUGGCUUCUUCAGAAAAGUUGGAACAUGCAUGACGAAAGUUUUCUUUUUCAAAAGUUGAUGGCAUCUUUGCUUGCCUUUACCGCACCCAAUUGUUCAAAACCUCCCUUUAUUCCUUGCUUUUGCAUGUUGGUGGUCGACAACGCGCUCCUCAUCAGUACCUCAAACACCAACUUAACAUCUUAAAUACUUUGGAGUAUUCAGUGGUUGUGGUGGGGUUCUAUCUUCAAAAUCCACAGCUCCAUCUCCCUUCCUAUCAACCCUUUUAAUCAUCUUCCGAUACUCUUUCAGCCUACAUUUUUGGCAUCCAAGGCUCACCAAAACCUUCUGCAACUCCUCGCCUGAAAUUUUCCUGUUCUUAUCUGUGUCGAAAAUAUGAAAAGCAUCCAUGAGUUCACAAUCUUCUUCCUCAUUCCAAACCCAACAUUAUUCCUUUGUGGCGAUCGACUUCUUGUAUCCGAGGCACGAGAGCAUGUCGCUCAGCUCGAGAGGGGAGAUUUUCCUGUCCCCGUUUGCAUCCAUGACUUUAAACACUUGGUUAAACUGGUUGGAGACUUCCAUGGCUGCAAAAGAUGAGGUUCCAGCUGUUGGCGCAUUAAAGAUGGAAGAAAGUUUUGGUGGUUUUCUUUUCUUGCAUCCACUUGUCAUCAUUUGGAUGGCUGAUUCCAAGAAAAUUCUGAUACAACUCAUUGUAGUUGACAAAAUUGUGUGAUAAGAGAGGGUAGAUUUAUUGGCUCUGUCAAUGACGGCAAUAAUGGGUCGUAGGGUCGCGGCUGAUGGGUUCAGACUGGUUGGGUCGGGCUCGAACUGGGUUUGAGUUUUGUGGGUCGAACCAGGUGUUUGGGUUUGGAGCUAGAGCUUCUAUUAGAUCAGUGAAGCUUUCUUCCCCAAGAAAUCAAACAACCCGCGAUCCUUGGUCUCGCCUGCACCAAAUCCUUCCUUGUAAUCCCCACUCUUCCUCUCGUACUUGUGUUCUUGGCUCUUGUUGUACUCCUCCGGUGCCUGCACCAGAUCCUGUUUCUGAGUAAUCUCCUCCGGUGCCAGGACCAGCAGCUCAUCCCGGGCCAUUUCCAGAGCUAACAUAUCUCCAAUUAGGAAAAGCUGCUUAUUGAGAAAUCAGAUUAAGGAAUAUGGGGAAGUGGGAAAGUGGAAAGCUUUGAACUUUUUGUGAAUCAAUCAAUUGGGUUUGUUGGUGGAUUGAGAAAUUUGGAGAAUUCAUGGGUUUUGGAGGAUUGGGAUUGAGAAAUUUGGAUAUGUGGUUUUUAGGUGAGCAAAUUCACGGUGGAGGUGAAAAAAAAUGAAAGAACCGCCAUAGCUUUUCGUGUCGAUUCCCAUAGACGGCGCUAAAUGUUGAUGCACAAAACCGGAGGGGUCUUGGAACAACGUAAAUCCGACCGUGAAUUUGCAAGAAAGUAAAGAACGCAAGAUGUAUCGUGGUUCACCCCAAUGUUUGGGCUACGUCCACACUGAUGUUGAUUGUAUUUCUCUCUAACUGUAUGUAUGGAUUACAAGGGUGAGGGGGAGUCCCCUAGAGAAAUAGAGGGUUUGAGAGAGCUUCUCUGUGAGGAUGAGAGCUCUGUUUAGGGGAUGUGAGGCUUGAGGUUUGUGAGGGUGAGAAGGUCCUUUUAUAGAAUAAGGGCUCCUCACUUAUUACAUAUUUGCCCCUCUAUUUAUUACAUAAUUACAUUUGAGUCCCCCGAGUAUUUAUACGAGAUCUAAAUACGGAGGCCCAAAGUAUGGUAUAAACAAACUUAAUUCCCCAAAUUCUUCUAUCAAGCCACCUCUAAUUCAAAGAUUAAUUCUUGGAUAUUUAAUCUUACUGGUAUUAUGGCUGCAUCUAACAUCUUGUUAGACUGCCUACGUACCCUAAACAGGGAUGAAGCUAUUCGUAGUUCACAAAUCCAAAUUCACUUAAACUUUGAUAUUUCUACACAUAACUAACAAUCACCAUCUAGCUUCAAACAAUUGUAUUACAUUAAAUGCUUAAUAAAUUUAGUUUCAGAACAACAGAAUUAGCCUAAACAUACGACGUCGGCUCCCAGGCCACACGCCACCGCACGUGCAGCCGCCGGUUGCGGUCGGCCGCCCCGAUUCGCAGGAAAAUAACAACUAUCUCCAAAAAUCACCAAAUUUUACAGGAAAGUAGAUCUCAGUGAGAGGAACAACUUUCAUACCUGAGACCAAGCCCAAUUUGGCCGGGAAACACCUCAAAUCGGCCACGAACCGCCAAAAACCCUUAAAUUUGGGUGUGUUCAAUUCAACCUCAAAGUAACUCUGACGCCCCUAAACUUGUUUGGGCUUUGUUCCACCCCUCAAAAGGAGUCUAAUGGUGGUAGUAAGAGCAACUCCAGCGU